GUUAGUCCUGAGUGCUGCUUCAGACCCGCCAGACCUCUGGGACAGAACUGCUUCAGAAAUACAGAUGUCCUUUACGGGGCUCCCUUAUGCUGUCUAGAAGCCCAAGAGCUGUUUCUUGUAUCCAUGCCCUAUGGAGGAGGAGGACUGAAGAGUUACAUCUAUCUUGUUUAGAAUUAAUUUUUCUCCUCCAAGUUUUCCUGUAUUUCCAGCUUACUGGCUGUGUUCUUCCCUGCACUGACUCUCAAGUAGAAGUCUGAGUGAUUCCCUGCUGUGCUCUGGGAGAGCUGUGGGAGGACAGCAUGCAUGCAGCUUGCCUGCAGGCUCUGCAUCCAUCCUUCGCCUCUGGGAGAGCUGUGGGCGGAUUUCGUUUUGUUAGGUUUUGCCCGGCAACAGAGAUGGAAAAUUGGAUGCAGAGUAUAGCUUAGCCAGGGCCUUUUUGGGAGCCUUUGUGAAGAGGGCAGUUGGGUGUCCACAACACAUGUAUCAGUAAGGAAUCGUGUCGACAUCCUGAUAUAACAGGUCCUACCACAGCCAAAAUGGAGUAGGGUGAAGCAGAAACUUGCUGAGAGGCAAAGUGGUUUUCUCCAACUUUGGGUGAGAAUUCUAUCUCAGAAUUCAAUUUCAAAGACCUCAGCUCCUGUGGGCUUUCCAGCACUGCAGAGACUGAAGUGCUUGGAGGGUUAUCAGUGAGGAAAUGGAAGAAAUGAGGCCGGUGACUUGUUCCCCGUGUCCCCAUGUAUGACCAGAAGGCACAGCCAGCGUUUGCAGUUGUCCCUGCUGUGACCACCGCUCGUCUGAUCGAGAUCAUGCUGGUGUUGUGGUUCAGGGAGUUAUUUGGCUGAUGGGUCUUUCAAAAGAAAAAUGAUUGCAGAGGAACUGAGGCUAACCAUUGUUGAACUGCUGGUGCAUGAGGAGCAGACCUGGGCUAAGGACUUCUUUCAAGUGUAUUCACUAGGCAGGAAGUGGGACUGAGCACACAGAAGGCUGUGCAGGCUGCCAUGCAGAUCAGUGCAUUGAUUGCUUUGUCUGUAAAACGCACAAAUCUAUCAAGUUUGACACCGUCUGGCAUCCUAUGUUUCCUUUGUGUUAAUAGUUAAUGAUUGCUUAUAAAAACCUAUUAAUAUU
rnacentral:lncRNA from 7 species